UACUGUCUUCGGCAGCACACAUAUUAAAUUGGAAUGAUACAGACAAGAUUAGCAUGGCCCCUGCACAAGGAAGACACGCAGACAUGCAAAGGCAUUCCUUAUUUUU